GUGGGGAAUAUUGGGCAAUGGGCGCAAGUCUGACCCAGCAACGCCGCGUGAAGGAUGAAGGCCUUCGGGUUGUAAACCUCUUUUAAGGGGGAAGAACAGAAGACGGUACCCCUUGAAUAAGCCACGGCUAACUACGUGCCAGCAGCCGCGGUAAUACGAAGGUGGCAAGCGUUGUCCGGAUUUACUGGGUGUAAAGGGCGUGCAGCCGGGAAGACAAGUCAGAUGUGAAAUCCCGCGGCUCAACCGCGGAACUGCAUUUGAAACUGUUUUUCUUGAGUAUCGGAGAGGUAAUCGGAAUUCCUAGUGUAGCGGUGAAAUGCGUAGAUAUUAGGAAGAACACCAGUGGCGAAGGCGGAUUACUGGACGACAACUGACGGUGAGGCGCGAAAGCGUGGGGAGCAAACAGG
rnacentral:rRNA from 1 species